UGUGCAAGCCUGGAGGAGAGGAGCCUGAGGGAGACCCAGCGGCCCCAGGGUCAGGCCGGGAUGAGGAGAGGCUGCGUGUCCGAGGCUGCCGCGCCGUUUCCCAGGCGCAUUUCUCCUCUUCAGCCCCAUCCGGAAACGACGUCCUUCGCGGACCUCUGUCCCACCAGCAGACCGGACCCCCCUUGGAGGCAGAUUGGACAGUGAGAGAGGGAGACAGAGAGAAGGGUCUUCCUUUUGCCGUUGGUUCACCCUCCAAUGGCCACCGGGGCCGGCGAGCUGCGGCUGGCACUCCACGCUGAUCCGAAGGCAAGAGCUAGGUGCUUCUCCUGGUCUCCCAUGGGGUGCAGGGCCCAAGCACUUGGGCCAUCCUCCACUGCACUCCCUGGCCACAGCAGAGAGCUGGCCUGGAAGAGGGGCAACCGGGACAGAAUCCAGCGCCUCGACCAGGACUAGAGGCGCCGCAGGCAGAGGAUUAGCCUAUUGAGCGGCGGCGCCGGCCGCACCAAACCUUCUGACCUGAGGUGCUCAGGUGGAAAUCUGCGGUGCGGCGACUCCUCCCUGAGAGCCUGUUCAAGCAAUGAGGAGCUAUCCUUGACCCUGCCGGCAGAGCCUGAGUGAGACUCAGAACCCCAGGGUCAGGCCUGGAUCCGGAGAUGCUGGGGCCCAAGUCUGGUGUAUCAGUUACCUUGGGCUUCUGGAAAUUUCUAGGCUCGGUCCUCUUUUUCGGCUCCUUCUGGAAGACUACAUCUCUUACUGAGUUCCUGUUCCAGAAGAACAGAAACGCUCUCUCUGCGACUGCACACACUGAAGAGAAAGCAGAAGCGUAGAGAAACCCCAAGAAUCCUGUGUGCUCUAUUCCAGCCUGUCCAAGGUUCUGAUACCUCAUAACCCUUCUGGAAGCAAUGGCCUUCGCGGGCCUCUGUCCCGCCAGCAGACCAAGCCUGCUUGAAGGCGCAGUCCUCUUCUUUGGCCCCUCUGAAAGACUGCACCUCAGGACCGGGUCCCUGUGUCAGGAACAGAAAGGUUCUUUCUGUGGAGAGUUUGGCACGGUGGCCUUCCUGUCACUGGGCUGCACACAUGGAGGAGAAAGCAGAAGCUUAGAGAACCCCCAAGAAUCCCUCUGUGCUCUGUUCCAGCCUGCCCCCAGAUUCUGACACCUCAUAGUCUUGUGUCCUGAUUCACACCAGUGGGGAGUCUUGAGCUGUUGGGGGAGUCUGAGGAGGAUACCUGGCCACCCUGGGACUGGAACUGACUUUUAAGAGGGACCCUGAGACACCCAUGGUGGACUUUUGAGUGCCGCCUCACGUUGGAGCUGAGUGCUUCCUGCUGGGACCGCGUGAUCUUCCUGGGAUGCCAGGGUGGCACAGCAACCCAUGGUGCUCUGGAUGCUCUUGCUGAAUCUGUGUGUAGCUUAGAAGGUAAAACUGUG